rnacentral:rRNA from 1 species
AAAGGCAAUACCUGAUUCUGACCCGAACUUAUUCUCAAAUAUCUCUUAAUUUAUACAUGCAAGUCUCAGCACCCCCGUGAGGACGCCCUUUUUCCCUUUACCAGGUCAAGGAGCUGAUAUCAGGCACCACACCCAUCCCGCCCACAACAUCUAGUCCCACCGCGCCCACGGGGGGAUUCGGCAGUGAUAAACAUUGACUAUGAGCGCAACUUGGUUCCACUAAAUAGAAGAGGGACGGCUAACCAGGUGCCAGCCGACGGGGCUACGGGCCGGGGCCCCGGUUGACAGUGGGGGCCGUUAAGCCCAAGUAAGGCCUAACGCAAGGUGGGUUCAAGCUGGGAGGCGGAAUGGUGAAAGGGGGCAACGUCAAUUCAUCUCGAAAGGAAACGUAGCCCGAGUUCGGACGGGGAACAACCAUGGGACGGGGGCGACCAGGAGCGCUAACAUGCAGUUUUACGGGCUCAUUGGCCCAAGCUGCAAAAAAAGGCUCACGAAAGAUUUCCACUGCCUGCUGGGAAGACGCCUCAAGCUGGCAAUAACCAGGGCGCCGCCCCACCAAGAACAACGCUCAAAACUAUUUAUAUUU